rnacentral:lncRNA from 12 species
AGAAGAGACACCAGAGCUUUCCUGCUCUCUCUCUCUCUCUCUCUCCCAUGUGGGACACAGUGAGAAGGCAGCCAUCUACAAGCCUGGCACCCUGAUCUCAGACUCCUGAACUGUGAAAAGUAAAUUCCUCUUAUUUAAGCCACCUAGUCUGUGAUGUUUUGGUUUGUAGCCCCUGCUAAUUAGUGGCUUCGUGCAUCCCCUAACCUGGUAUGUGCAUUUCUUUUGUAAUAGGAGUCAUAGAUGCACAGCCUUUAACCUAGAGCAAUGGGCAUUGGAGGCAGCAUGGAAGAGCACAUGGUCUACUGCAGUGUAAGGCUGGUCUGAUCUUAUCAGGGAUCUUCUCUUGGCUCAUGUAAUAAGUGAGCACUCCAGGGGGAGUGUACUCUCAGCUGCUGCCUUUCUACUGUCUCCUCCCUUCCAUCACAACAGCUCCCUCCUCAAAGAAUUGAAGACUGGCCCACAGGAAUUGGGAAUUCGUGUACUUUCCCACAACUUCUUUCUGCCUCAUUUCUUGGACAUUAAUCCCACUCCACCAUCAUCUAACCAUCAGUGAUCUCAACUGACACUUCAGGUUUUCCUAGGAGGUUCUUGUGCAAUUUGGCUGUCUGUUGGCAGAGUAUAAGUCAGAUUAGCUAUUGAGAGACCCAACCUCCUUUAUAGAAGAUGGAGUGGCUGGUGUAGGGACAACCUUCCAAAGGAGCUUCUUUAAUGAACCACAGCGGAUGGUGCUGUCCCUCACUGCACAGUGAGGUGGGGCCAGGGCACCAAACUGCCUUUGCAAACACCUUCCUGUCAGGAAAAGGUGCUCAGAAGGCGAGAAGGAGCCUCUGUGACAUGUGCUCUCCACUUGGAAGACAAGAAGGUUCAGAUACAAAGAAUAUAUCUGAGAUCACACAGCAGGAGAGAAGCAGAAGGACGGACAAUAGACUCUGGGAUUCUGGACCAGAGUCCAUCUUACCCUGCACCACAGUGUUUUUGGAGCAGUCUCUAACUGAACAAAGAGUUUUAAAGAUAUUUAAAAAUGAAUAUUCAUAAACAUCCAUGUUAGACUUUUUUAUAAGCAGUCUAAUGGAGAAGUCCAAGAAGAAAUUGCUCUCAUAUGGCCUUUGGUAAAUUACCAGACUUGUUUGCUUUUGCUUUUUUAUUAAUAAGAGUAAAGCAACACUUACUUCUGGAAUUUGAUGAAUAGAUUUGUACAUAAUAACAACAGUGAUAGUUGUUAUAAGUAAACAUUAUUGUGUAGUUGUAGUACCAGCUAACACUUAUAGGGCACUUAUUUUGUGCAAGGCCAAGCACUUUACAUGGAGAUCUUCAUGUAAUCCUCCCAGCCACCUGUAAUUAUCCUCAUUACAGAUGAAAAAAUUGAAGUCUGGACAAGUUAAAUAUGCAGCCCAGAUCACACAGGUGUUAAGUAAUACAACUGGAACUUAAGUCCACUCUGCCUAGGUCCAAAGUAAAUGUUCUUAACCAUGAGACCAUAUUGUAUUGCUUUCUCAUUAAAGAAUCCACAAGGAUAAGUUAAAGAACAAGGGAAUUCAACCUUAAAAAACCAGAGAAGUAAAAUUUGGCAAGAGAAGGACUUUUGCAACAUUAGGAGACCAUGCAGGGUGGCCAACACUCAUUGUACUACCUCUCAUGGUAAAGGGGGAAAAAUCACACAUCCUUAUAGAGGCAUAGAAACAUACACCAAAAUGAUCCUCAAAAAGAAUGGCAUUCCAUUGGAGCUCAAAUUAAACUCUUUUUUAAAAGUGCAUAUUGGGCGUAUACUUCUGUAAUAUAUCCAGGUUAGUACAGCUAUAUGAAUAUAGUCCCUGGCAUAAAUGUAAACACAAAGGACAGCCCAGGGCUGCCAAGAGUUUUAUGUAAAUAAUUAUGCAUUGCAAAGUGAUUUUCGUGGCCAUGGGUGUAUAGGACUGCACUCCAAAAACGG